rnacentral:rRNA from 1 species
AUUGAACGCUGGCGGCAUGCCUUACACAUGCAAGUCGAACGGCAGCACGGGUGCUUGCACCUGGUGGCGAGUGGCGAACGGGUGAGUAAUACAUCGGAACGUACCUUAUCGUGGGGGAUAACGCAGCGAAAGCUGUGCUAAUACCGCAUACGCCCUGAGGGGGAACGCGGGGGAUCGCAAGACCUCGCGCGAUUAGAGCGGCCGAUGCCUGAUUAGCUUGUUGGUGGGGUAAAAGCCCACCAAGGCGAGGAUCAGUAGCUGGUCUGAGAGGACGAUCAGCCACACUGGGACUGAGACACGGCCCAGACUCCUACGGGAGGCAGCAGUGGGGAAUUUUGGACAAUGGGGGCAACCCUGAUCCAGCAAUGCCGCGUGAGUGAAGAAGGCCUUCGGGUUGUAAAGCUCUUUUGUCAGGGAAGAAACACCGGCUCUAACACAGUCCGGGAAUGACGGUACCUGAAGAAUAAGCACCGGCUAACUACGUGCCAGCAGCCGCCGUAA